ACAAUUCGUCCUCAGUAACACUGCCACGAGCCCAUCGGCAAGGCUGACCUCUCAGCCUAAGAGCUACAAAGGAAUCCUUGUAGAGCACUUACAUUAAGGCUGCAUGGGAACUGUUGAGUUACAGCCUGAACCAGUGAUUGAGCACCUGGGGAAAGGACCCAGACAGCCCUGGGGGCACAGAUGAAGGCAAUUCAGCUGUGUGACCGGAAGGGGUGGAGCCUGGCUGCACCUCUCUUAGACCCCAUUUAAAGGCUGACCCUCACUGAGAAGGGUUUUCUUCCUGGAGAUCCCUCCUUAGUGAAGCUAUUCCCUAUAAAUCUGGAAUCUUCUGAUACAGACUGCACAACCACAGCCUACUGAAAGCUCUUCCCCAUCUCCAGCAGCUGUGGCAGCACCCGGAGGCCUCAGCCCGCUGGGACCCACACAGCGCUGCCAGCAGGUGCCGGGCACAGCGCGGUGUGCGGUGCGCAUCCCAGCUGCUGCCCUCCAGAAAGGCACCGACCGCGUGAGAAAGCCUUUGGUGCGGAUGGCAAGAAGCAGGCAGAGGGAUUCUGGCGGCGAGAAGCGUUUACAUCACUGAACAACGCACAGGAAGGAAAGGGAGUUAAAUUUAGAACAGGCACCGACCCGAAGGGAAGCUUGUCACCGGCAGCCAGCGCAGCUCGAAGCGAAGCUCUU